rnacentral:rRNA from 1 species
CCGGUAAACGGCGGCCGUAACUAUAACGGUCCUAAGGUAGCGAAAUUCCUUGUCGGGUAAGUUCCGACCUGCACGAAUGGCGUAAUGAUGGCCAGGCUGUCUCCACCCGAGACUCAGUGAAAUUGAACUCGCUGUGAAGAUGCAGUGUACCCGCGGCAAGACGGAAAGACCCCGUGAACCUUUACUAUAGCUUGACACUGAACAUUGAGCCUUGAUGUGUAGGAUAGGUGGGAGGCUUAGAAGUGUGGACGCCAGUCUGCAUGGAGCCGACCUUGAAAUACCACCCUUUAAUGUUUGAUGUUCUAACGUUGACCCGUAAUCCGGGUUGCGGACAGUGUCUGGUGGGUAGUUUGACUGGGGCGGUCUCCUCCUAAAGAGUAACGGAGGAGCACGAAGGUUGGCUAAUCCUGGUCGGACAUCAGGAGGUUAGUGCAAUGGCAUAAGCCAGCUUGACUGCGAGCGUGACGGCGCGAGCAGGUGCGAAAGCAGGUCAUAGUGAUCCGGUGGUUCUGAAUGGAAGGGCCAUCGCUCAACGGAUAAAAGGUACUCCGGGGAUAACAGGCUGAUACCGCCCAAGAGUUCAUAUCGACGGCGGUGUUUGGCACCUCGAUGUCGGCUCAUCACAUCCUGGGGCUGAAGUAGGUCCCAAGGGUAUGGCUGUUCGCCAUUUAAAGUGGUACGCGAGCUGGGUUUAGAACGUCGUGAGACAGUUCGGUCCCUAUCUGCCGUGGGCGCUGGAGAACUGAGGGGGGCUGCUCCUAGUACGAGAGGACCGGAGUGGACGCAUCACUGGUGUUCGGGUUGUCAUGCCAAUGGCACUGCCCGGUAGCUAAAUGCGGAAGAGAUAAGUGCUGAAAGCAUCUAAGCACGAAACUUGCCCCGAGAUGAGUUCUCCCUGACUCCUUGAGAGUCCUGAAGGAACGUUGAAGACGACGACGUUGAUAGGCCGGGUGUGUAAGCGCAGCGAUGCGUUGAGCUAACCGGUACUAAUGAACCGUGAGGCUUAACCUU